rnacentral:rRNA from 1 species
AUUGAACGCUGGCGGCAGGCCUAACACAUGCAAGUCGAGCGAGCGGCGGACGGGUGAGUAAUGUAUGGGGACUGCCCGAUAGAGGGGGAUAACUACUGGAAACGGUGGCUAAUACCGCAUACUAGUGGAUAACCCAUAUGGGAUUAGCUAGUGGGUGGGGUAAAGGCUAACCUAGGCGACGAUCUCUAGCUGGUCUGAGAGGAGGAUCAGCCACACUGGGACUUAGACACGGCCCAGACUCCUACGGAGGCAGCAGUGGGGAAGAUUGCGCAAUGGGAGCAAGCCUGAUACAGCCAUGCCGCGUGUGUGAAGAAGGCCUUAGGGUUGUAAAGUACUUUCAGCGGGGAGGCGUUACCCGCAGAAGAAGCACAGGCUAACUACGUGCCAGCAGCCGCGGUAAUUC